GUUGUGUUCAACAUAUAGAUACAGACUUGAAGAUUGGCCACCAGCUUUAUGUCUUCUUGCUUGUCUUCUCUGGAGUUUGAUAGGAUGGUAAAUUGAUUCUGAUGUUAUGAUUACACUAUUAAUGGAGUAAAUGCUGCAUACAA